GCGAGGGUGGCGGAAUUGGCAGACGCGCCAGGUUUAGGUCCUGGUGCCUAACGGCGUGCAGGUUCGAGUCCUGUCCCUCGCA
rnacentral:tRNA from 1 species